rnacentral:rRNA from 1 species
CCUACGGGAGGCAGCAGUGGGGAAUAUUGGACAAUGGGGGAAACCCUGAUCCAGCGACGCCGCGUGAGUGAAGAAGUAUUUCGGUACGUAAAGCUCUAUCAGCAGGAACGAAAAUGACGGUACCUGACUAAGAAGCCCCGGCUAACUACGUGCCAGCAGCCGCGGUAAUACGUAGGGGGCAAGCGUUAUCCGGAUUUACUGGGGGGAAAGGGAGCGUAGACGGCAGCGCAAGUCUGGAGUGAAAUGCCGGGGCCCAACCCCGGAACUGCUCGGGAAACUGUGAAGCUGGAGUGCAGGAGAGGUAAGCGGAAUUCCUGGUGUAGCGGUGAAAUGCGUAGAUAUCAGGAGGAACACCGGCGGCGAAGGCGGCUUACUGGACUGUAACUGACGUUGAGGCUCGAAGGCGUGGGGAGCAAACAGGAUUAGAUACCCUAGUAGUC